rnacentral:misc_RNA from 1 species
UUUCCGUAGGUGAACCCGCGGAAGGAUCAUUAUUGUAUAACCGAGGUGCGAGGGCUGUCGCUGACCCGAAAGGUCGUGCACGCCCGAGUGCCCUCACACACAUCCAUCUCACCCCUAUGUGCACCACCGCGUGGGUCCCCCUUUGGCUUGUUCGGAGGGGGGCUUACGUUUUCACACAAACUUUGUAUGCAGUGUAGAAUGUAUUUUUUGUUUUUGCGAUCACGCAAUCAAUACAACUUUCAACAACGGAUCUCUUGGCUCUU